ACGUAGGGUGCAAGCGUUGUCCGGAAUUACUGGGUGUAAAGGGAGCGCAGGCGGGAAGACAAGUUGGAAGUGAAAACCAUGGGCUCAACCCAUGAAUUGCUUUCAAAACUGUUUUUCUUGAGUAGUGCAGAGGUAGAUGGAAUUCCCGGUGUAGCGGUGGAAUGCGUAGAUAUCGGGAAGAACACCAGUGGCGAAGGCGGUCUACUGGGCACCAACUGACGCUGAGGCUCGAAAGCAUGGGUAGCAAACAG
rnacentral:rRNA from 1 species